AGGGCCAUACCACAUUGAAAACACCGGUUCUCGUUCGAUCACCGAAGUUAAGCAAUGUCGGGCCCGGUCAGUACUUGGGAGGGUGACCACCUGGGAACACCGGGUGCUGUAGGAU
rnacentral:rRNA from 1 species